rnacentral:tRNA from 1 species
GCGCCUGUGGCUCAAACGGGUAGGGCGCUGGUCUCAUAUGCCAGAGGUGGUGGGUUCAAACCCAGGCCUGAUGCC